rnacentral:snRNA from 1 species
AAUUAUUAUUAUCUGAUAAAAUUGAAAGGAUACAGAGAAUAUUAGCAUGAUCUAUGUGCAAGGAUAACACACAAAACAAGAAUGAUUCAAAUUUUUU